CCUCUGAUGCUGGGGGAGACAGCCCGGGUGCAGCAGUAUGGAGGCGAAGGCGGGGUCCACCGCGGCUACCGAAGGCGCGUACUCGGUGUCUGCGGAGGAGACCGAAAAGUGGAUGGAGCAGGCGAUGCAAAUGCAUCAAGGUCUUUUCCAGUGAGUCGACUCUUUGCAUCAGAUGGCCAAAGUAUUGGAGCUUCAGCUUCACAACAGUCCUUCCAAUGAAUAUUCAGAGUUGGUUUCCUUUAGAAAUGAGUGGUUUGAUCUCCUUGCUGAACAAGGGACUGCUGAACAAGAGCUUUUUCUAACACCACAAUUUGAAAACAUAUCAGAGUACACCAUGUAAAAUGCUGGGCUGGAUGAAGCACAAGCUGAAAUCAAGAUUGCCCGGAGAAAUUUCAACAACCUCAGAUGUGCAGAUGAUACCAGCCUAAUGGAAGAAAGUGAAGAGGAAUUAAAGAACCUCAUGACGAGGGUGAAAGUUGAGAGUGAAAAAGCUAGCUUAAGAUUCAACAUUCAAAAAACUGAGACCAUGUCAUUCAGUCCCAUCACUUCAUGAUAAACAGAAGGGGAAAAAGUGAAAGCAGUGACAGAUUUUAUAUUCUUAGGCCCCAAAAUCACUGUGGACAGUGACUGCAACUAUGAUAUUAAAAGACCCUUACUCCUUGGAGAAAAGCUAUGACAAACCUAGACAAUGUAUUAAAAAGCAGAGACAUCACUUUGCCAACAAUGGUCCCUAUAGUCAAAACUAGGGUUUUUCCAGGAGUCCUAUAUGGAUGUGAGAGUUGGAUCAUAAAAAAGGCUGAGCACCGAGGAGUUGAAUCUUUCAAACUGUGGUGCUGGAGGAGACUCUUGAGAGUCGCUUGGACAGCAAGGAGAUCCAACCAGUCCAUCCUAAAGGAAAUCAACUCCGAAUAUUCACUGGAAGGACUGAUGCUGAAGCUGAAGCUCCAAUACUUUGGCCACCUGAUGCAAAGGGCCGACUCGUUGGAAAAGACGUGAUGUUGGAAAAAAUUGAAGGCAAAAGAAGGGAGGGGUAGAGAAUGAGAUGGUUAGAUGGCAUCACUGACUCAGAGGAUGUGAAUUUGAGCGAACUCUAGGAGGUAGUGCAGGACAGGGGAGCCUGGCAUGCUGCAGUCCAUGGGGUUGGGAAGAGUCAGACACGACUUAGUGACUGAACAACAGCAGCAGCAUGGAAGUAGAUCCCACGUGCUGCAAUUAACGAAUUUGCGUGCUACCACUAAAACAUUCUGUGUGCUGCAGAUAAGA